CCUACGGGUGGCAGCAGUGGGGAGUAUUGGACAAUGGGCGCAAGCCUGAUCCAGCAAUGCCGCGUGAGUGACGAAGGCCUUCGGGUUGUAAAGCUCUUUCGGUGGGGAAGAUAAUGACGGUACCCGCAGAAGAAGCCCCGGCUAACUCCGUGCCAGCAGCCGCGGUAAUACGGAGGGGGCUAGCGUUGUUCGGAUUUACUGGGCGUAAAGCGCACGUAGGCGGAUUGGCAAGUUGGGGGUGAAAUCCCGGGGCUUAACUCCGGAAUUGCCUUCAAAACUGCCAAUCUUGAGUCCGGGAGAGGUAAGUGGAAUUCCGAGUGUAGAGGUGAAAUUCGUAGAUAUUCGGAAGAACACCAGUGGCGAAGGCGGCUUACUGGUCCGGUUCUGACGCUGAGGUGCGAAAGCGUGGGUAGCAAACAGGAUUAGAUACCCUUGUAGUC
rnacentral:rRNA from 1 species